CCGCGUUCCCAGGUCAGGCGUGAAU
rnacentral:rRNA from 1 species